GACGAACGCUGGCGGCGUGCUUAACAAAUGCAAGUCGAACGGAAAGGCCCUGCUUUUGUGGGGUGCUCGAGUGGCGAACGGGUGAGUAACACGUGAGUAACCUGCCCUUGACUUUGGGAUAACUUCAGGAAACUGGGGCUAAUACCGGAUAGGAGCUCCUGCUGCAUGGUGGGGGUUGGAAAGUUUCGGCGGUUGGGGAUGGACGCGCGGCUUAUCAGCGUGUUGGUGGGGUAGUGGCUUACCCAGGCGUUGACGGGUAGCCGGCCUGAGAGGGUGACCGGCCACAUUGGGACUGAGAUACGGCCCAGACUCCUACGGGAGGCAGCAGUGGGGAAUAUUGCACAAUGGGCGGAAGCCUGAUGCAGCAACGCCGCGUGCGGGAUGACGGCCUUCGGGUUGUAAACCGCUUUCGCCUGUGACGAAGCGUGAGUGACGGUAAUGGGUAAAGAAGCACCGGCUAACUACGUG
rnacentral:rRNA from 1 species